rnacentral:lncRNA from 1 species
GUAGGUGUCCCCAUACCCUUUGCACAGGGGGGUAAGCAGACCCAGAAGGUGCAGUGGUGCCUUGCCCGAGGUCACAUGGCCAGUCGGUUGCUGAAUCUGGACCAUUGAGUGGGACCAACUCAGCCAUUCAUGCCCCCUGGGAGCUCAGAUACCUGGGUCUCCUCACUGUCACUGAGAGGCCCUCCGUAACAGGACUUUAGUCAUCCUGGCAAACUGAUAGGACUGAGCCCUGCCCAUUUUCUUCAAAGCAGAAGUGACGCUGCCAUACCCUCCAAACACUGGCCCAGCAGCCAUGGCCCUGCCUCAGUUUCCAUCCCACGGAAGGUAGAUCACUGCUCCCAGCUUCUGGGGGAUGAAUCAAGGGGAACAAGACCAGGACUUACCACCGCCCGCCCCCCCCCCCCCAUCAGCCAGCUCCAGAGAACCAGCCAGAUCCGAGUUCAAAUCCUACACGCACUGGAUGACCUUGGAAUACCUAAAGAGGGGCAUCAGCAGCCUUUUCCUGAUGAGAAACCAAAGCCCACAGAAGUGAAGAGGCUUGCCCAAGGUCAUACAGCAGAUAAGUGGCCAAGGCAGAAUUCAAACACAGAUCUGACCCAUCCCAAAGUCGUCCCUCAGCUCCCUGUUAUUCUCUGGGUCUGAAAAAUGGAACUGCCAAUACCUGUGGCAUUCACAAGGACACAGAAAGAUGCAAGGAUUUGUCCAACGUCUCAUACACUGGUCAGAUCUGUCUGUGGUCUGAGUCAGAGACCCUGAAAAAGAAAAGGCAGCCCAGGGGGACCGUGGUUCCAGAGUCCUGUCCAUCACCUGCCCUGUCCUCCCAGGACAGCAGCCAGUGGAGACGGAGCCUUACAGAGGGAAUGAAACGUGGAUGUGGUGGAUGCCAUCAAGGACCUUAAGACAAGGGCCUCACUCUGGGGUUGGCAGAGCAGUGAGCUGCUGCGUGGAGUCUCUUACUUCCAGCUGAAUCUAAUUCCUCAAUGACACGGGAAAGAAAUUGAGAAACUCCUCGCAAGACUGACCACGA